GGGUUGUGAGGUUAAGUGACUAAGCGUACACGGUGGAUGCCUAGGCAGUCAGAGGCGAUGAAGGGCGUGCUAAUCUGCGAAAAGCGUCGGUAAGGUGAUAUGAACCGUUAUAACCGGCGAUACCCGAAUGGGGAAACCCAGUGUGUUUCGACACACUAUCAUGUCAUGAAUACAUAGUGGCAUGAGGCGAACCGGGGGAACUGAAACAUCUAAGUACCCCGAGGAAAAGAAAUCAACCGAGAUUCCCCCAGUAGCGGCGAGCGAACGGGGAGGAGCCCAGAACCUGAAUCGGCUUGUGUGUUAGUGGAAGCGUCUGGAAAGUCGCGCAGCAAAGGGUGAUAGCCCCGUACACUAAAAUGCACAGGUCGUGAGUUCGAUGAGUAGGGCGGGACACGUGACAUCCUGUCUGAAUAUGGGGGGACCAUCCUCCAAGGCUAAAUACUCCUGACUGACCGAUAGUGAACCAGUACCGUGAGGGAAAGGCGAAAAGAACCCCGGCGAGGGGAGUGAAAUAGAACCUGAAACCGUGUACGUACAAGCAGUGGGAGCACCUUCGUGGUGUGACUGCGUACCUUUUGUAUAAUGGGUCAGCGACUUAUAUUUUGUAGCAAGGUUAACCGUAUAGGGGAGCCGUAGGGAAACCGAGUCUUAACUGGGCGAAUAGUUGCAAGGUAUAGACCCGAAACCCGGUGAUCUAGCCAUGGGCAGGUUGAAGGUUGGGUAACACUAACUGGAGGACCGAACCGACUAAUGUUGAAAAAUUAGCGGAUGACUUGUGGCUGGGGGUGAAAGGCCAAUCAAACCGGGAGAUAGCUGGUUCUCCCCGAAAGCUAUUUAGGUAGCGCCUCGUGAACUCAUCUUCGGGGGUAGAGCACUGUUUCGGCUAGGGGGCCAUCCCGGCUUACCAAACCGAUGCAAACUCCGAAUACCGAAGAAUGUUAUCACGGGAGACACACGGCGGGUGCUAACGUCCGUCGUGAAGAGGGAAACAACCCAGACCGCCAGCUAAGGUCCCAAAGUCAUGGUUAAGUGGGAAACGAUGUGGGAAGGCACAGACAGCCAGGAUGUUGGCUUAGAAGCAGCCAUCAUUUAAAGAAAGCGUAAUAGCUCACUGGUCGAGUCGGCCUGCGCGGAAGAUGUAACGGGGCUAAACCAUGCACCGAAGCUGCGGCAGCGACGCUUAGGCGUUGUUGGGUAGGGGAGCGUUCUGUAAGCCGUUGAAGGUGGCCUGUGAGGGUUGCUGGAGGUAUCAGAAGUGCGAAUGCUGACAUAAGUAACGAUAAAGCGGGUGAAAAGCCCGCUCGCCGGAAGACCAAGGGUUCCUGUCCAACGUUAAUCGGGGCAGGGUGAGUCGACCCCUAAGGCGAGGCUGAAAAGCGUAGUCGAUGGGAAACAGGUUAAUAUUCCUGUACUUGGUGUUACUGCGAAGGGGGGACGGAGAAGGCUAGGCUAGCCGGGCGACGGUUGUCCCGGUUUAAGCGUGUAGGGGGUGUGACCUGGUAAAUCCGGUUACAUACUAACCCUGAGGCGUGAUGACGAUGCACUACGGUGCAGAAGUAGUUGAUGCCCUGCUUCCAGGAAAAGCCUCUAAGCUCCAGGUAACAUUAAAUCGUACCCCAAACCGACACAGGUGGUCAGGUAGAGAAUACCAAGGCGCUUGAGAGAACUCGGGUGAAGGAACUAGGCAAAAUGGUGCCGUAACUUCGGGAGAAGGCACGCUGGCAUGUAGGUGAAGUCCCUCGCGGAUGGAGCUGAAGCCAGUCGAAGAUACCAGCUGGCUGCAACUGUUUAAUAAAAACACAGCACUGUGCAAACACGAAAGUGGACGUAUACGGUGUGACGCCUGCCCGGUGCUGGAAGGUUAAUUGAUGGGGUCAGCCGCAAGGCGAAGCUCUUGAUCGAAGCCCCAGUAAACGGCGGCCGUAACUAUAACGGUCCUAAGGUAGCGAAAUUCCUUGUCGGGUAAGUUCCGACCUGCACGAAUGGCGUAAUGAUGGCCAGGCUGUCUCCACCCGAGACUCAGUGAAAUUGAACUCGCUGUGAAGAUGCAGUGUACCCGCGGCAAGACGGAAAGACCCCGUGAACCUUUACUAUAGCUUGACACUGAACAUUGAGCCUUGAUGUGUAGGAUAGGUGGGAGGCUUUGAAGCGUGGACGCCAGUCUGCGUGGAGCCAUCCUUGAAAUACCACCCUUUAAUGUUUGAUGUUCUAACUCGGCCCCAUAAUCUGGGGUGAGGACAGUGUCUGGUGGGUAGUUUGACUGGGGCGGUCUCCUCCCAAAGAGUAACGGAGGAGCACGAAGGUUAGCUAAUCACGGUCGGACAUCGUGAGGUUAGUGCAAAGGCAUAAGCUAGCUUGACUGCGAGAGUGACGGCUCGAGCAGGUACGAAAGUAGGUCUUAGUGAUCCGGUGGUUCUGAAUGGAAGGGCCAUCGCUCAACGGAUAAAAGGUACUCCGGGGAUAACAGGCUGAUACCGCCCAAGAGUUCAUAUCGACGGCGGUGUUUGGCACCUCGAUGUCGGCUCAUCACAUCCUGGGGCUGAAGUAGGUCCCAAGGGUAUGGCUGUUCGCCAUUUAAAGUGGUACGCGAGCUGGGUUUAGAACGUCGUGAGACAGUUCGGUCCCUAUCUGCCGUGGGCGUUGGAAGAUUGAGAGGGGUUGCUCCUAGUACGAGAGGACCGGAGUGAACGCACCACUGGUGUUCGGGUUGUCAUGCCAAUGGCAUUGCCCGGUAGCUAAGUGCGGAAAAGAUAAGCGCUGAAAGCAUCUAAGCGCGAAACUUGCCUCAAGAUGAGUCUUCCCUGGGCCUUUAAGGCCCCUGAAGGAACGUUUAAGACUAAGACGUUGAUAGGCUGGGUGUGUAAGUGCAGCGAUGCAUUGAGCUAACCAGUACUAAUGAUCCGUGAGGCUUAACCUUACAACACCGAAGGUGUUUUAG
rnacentral:rRNA from 2 species